rnacentral:pre_miRNA from 1 species
AGCCACCAGCAGAUGAAACUGCACAGCAUGAUCUGAUGUAUAUUUGUUUUUGUAGCUACCAAUUCAUCAGAUCAUGCUGGCAGCUUCAGCUCCUAAUGGC